rnacentral:lncRNA from 1 species
UGCUUUCUUCCUUCGACCGUGGUGGUUGCUUUGUCUGUCUGCUGAGCUCUGCGUCGCACUGCUGUCGUACUCACGCACUGACAGGCUGCGCUCGACGAAUUCGCGCUCGUGUUACCGUGCGUCUUCUACACGGACUCAGAAAGAACUGCCUUCAACCUCCGAACAUUGAAAAUGUGAGGAACGUUUCGAAAAACUUCGUGCCUGACAAGCCUUCUGACACCGCCGCAGACACUGUUCCG